rnacentral:misc_RNA from 1 species
CAGUCCUUUAAUAGCCAGCUAGCAGGCAACAGCUGGUAAUAUUUCUGAUUAGUGUUUCUACUUAGCAGAUGAAGCCGGUUUAAUUUAUAAACUAAUACAGGUUAAAACCAAAUAAAAUUGAUUUAUUUAAUGUGGUGUUAGUGAAAAAUACAUAGAAAAUAUAACAGCAAAUACAACCCUACAUCUGUUUAAAUAUAGGUGCAGUGUUUGUUUUUUUAACACACGUGAAGACAAAAAAAUAAAAGAUCUACAAAAUAAUUUAUGACAGAGGGAAUCUAAAAAUCAUUUUUCGAAAAUGUUCCCUUGGCAUGUGAAGAUAGAUGAGGAAGUUAAAAGAUAUCCUGAUCUGAAGUUAGAGGAUAUCCACACCAUUAGACAGUGGAUGAAAUCCCAGCCACAUUUACCUACAAUUGAUGACGAAGUGAUAGGCCAAUUCAUCUAUGCCUGCUAUUUUAAUCUGGAGCAAACGAAACGCACAAUAGAGACCUGCUAUACGUAUAAGGCUUCAAUGCCAGAAUUUUCAAAAAAUUGGGAUGUCACGUCUCCUAGUGUAGCAGAUGCCGGCGAAAAUUUACACAUUGUUCUCCUACAGGCUUGGACAAUGAUGGAAAUCAGGUGAUACUAUGUAAGCUAAACAAUAUGGCGGCUUCCCAAUAUGUAUUCAGCGAAUGUAUCAAGUGGAUUAUGAUGACUGUAUUUCUAUGUCAGCUGGAAAACGGUAUCAGACCAGGGUUCACUAUCGUCUAUGAUGCAGAUGGCUUUGGAAUGACACAUUUGUUCAAAAAUCCACUCAAUCAAGUCAAAAACUACAUUGCUUUUGGACAGAACGCUUCAAAUAUCAGGGUAACUGGUAUAAGAUUCAUAAAUUCAAGCAUUGUAAUAAAGAAGCUAAUAAGCUGGCUAAGGCCGUUCUUGAAUCAGGAAGUCAUGAAGAUGCUGAGUGUUCACACAGUAGCGGAUGAAUAUUUCAAAGAUAUUCCAAGAGAAAUAGUUCCUUCAGAUUAUGGUGGAGAUGGACCUUCAUUAGAGGAAUUAACAAAAAGUCAACGCGAGAAAAUGCUCAAAAUCAGAGAUCUACUGAUUGUUCAGGAACAAAUGUGCUGCGAUGAAACGAAGAGGGUGAAUGGUAAGAACAAGAAGAUUAACAAAGAGGAUGGAGACUACGAAACAGCGAGUGAAGAGGAAGAGAAAACUACGAAGAAGGAGAAGGAGAAUAAAAUAGAAACGACUCCUACAUUUGCUGGUUUAACCUUGGACUGAGAAACUGGUUUCAAAAUUAGUUUUGUAUCAAAUACUGAGUUCCGUAUCAAAUGAGUUGUGUAUCAAAUACUGACUUCCGUAUCAAAUGAGUUUUGUAUCAAAUACUGAGUUCCGUAUCAAAUGAGUUUUGUAUUAAAUACUGAGUUCCGUUUCAAAUGAGUUGAGAUCUGUAUCAAAUGAUAUGUAUAAUAUUAUUAUCAAAUGAGUUGUGUAUCAAAUACAGAGUUCCGUAUCGAAUGAGUUCUGUGUCAAAUGAGAUGUAUAAUAUUAUUAUCAAAUGAGUUGUGUAUCAAAUACUAAGUUCCGUAUCAAAUGAUUUAAGUUUUGUAUCAAAUAAGCUGGGUUGUUUCAAAUGAGUUUUGUAUCAAAUACUGACUUCCGUAUCAAAUACGUUGAGUUCUGUAUCAAAUGAGAUGUAUAAUAUUAUAAUCAAAUGAGUUGUUUAUCAAAUACUGAGUUCCGUAUUAAAUACGUUUUGUAUCAAAUCAGUUUUGUCUACUUAGUGCCAAUUGCACAAAAGCCGGUUAAAUUUUAACCGUGAUUAAUUACACGAAAACCAAUCAGAGAAGUCCUUUUAGAGGAGACGGCUUCUCUGAUUGGUUCCCGUGAAAUAAAUCACGGUUAAAAUUUAACCAGCUUUUGUGCAACUGGAAUACAUAUUUUGUGGUGAUGGAAUAAAACUUGGAAAGUUUAUUGAUUCAGUUGAAAUAAAAUUAACUAAAUUAAUUCAGUUGAAAUAACAGAUGUUUUCUUGUGAUGAUGAAAAGAUGGAAUAAAACUUGGAAAGUUUAUUAAUUCAGUUGGAAUUAAAUUAAUUCAGUUGAAAUAACAGAUGCUUUCUAACUGUUAAAAUAUCAACAAAGCCUGCCCAAUCAUUCCAUAAGUAUUUUAUUUAUUUCAUUCCUAUGAUUGUAUUGUGAAGUAUUAAAUAAUAUAUAAAAAUCAAAAUUUA